UGUGUAAAGUAUAGCUCAGGAUUUCAAGGCUCACGUCCAGCCUACCCCAAAUUUAAGACUUUCCUUCCACCUCCCAGAUCAUAGGCACUGAUGAUACCCAGAUGGAAACAGAGGGACUAGGUAGGCUCUUAGAGUACUUCAACACUGAUGGUGAGGUUCCUGGGGUCCUGACCCAAUGGAGGGAACACCUCUACAUUCCUGUUUAUGUAGGAACCCCAGGAACAAAGGCUAAACUAUGUACAUAUUUUUGGAUAAAGUCUUCCCAAAAUUUGGCCCUCUCCUCCAUUCUCAGUCCCAUGGCAAGCCCCGUCUCUGGACCCUGAGACUGCUGACUCACUGUUCUUGAGCCUGCCUAACCUAACACUCCCUGAUCUCCUGGACUAGAUGUCGCCUGCCAAAUGCAAUGACCUGUUGAUGGAGUAGUACCUGGGAGACAAUGAAGACCUCCACACCCUCCAAGUCCAAUUACAGAAGAUAAUGGACUUCUUGUUCAUGAUCUCUGAACACCAAAUAGUACAUUAUCAUUUUGAGAGUUGAGCUCACUGAGGAAGAGGAGCUGCUGAGUAGGAGGAUGAUGAAGCACUGGGCCAAAACUACAGGAAAUGAGUGAAAGAAUGCACCACCCAUCUUAGCCUCCUUCGAGACUUGUACUCAUCCAGUGUUCCCUUUGUUUGAGGUGACUUCAUUAACACACAUGUCCUUAAUCACAACCUAGCCCCCUUGCUUCAACCCAAAGACCCACUCUAACAGAGGGCAUCUUGUGUGUGCCAUUACCUGGUCCCUUUCCAACGACCAGGAGGGUGGGCCACAAUGCAGAGCUUCCAUCAGAAGCCCUGACAGGGAAGGACAAAACAGGCUAGGUUGCGUCCCAUGUGGAAAGUCUACAAGUAGAAAGUCAUUGCUCUCCUAAAUUAGGAAACCUCGCCCCAUUGCCCAUGCCUCCUGCCUGCCUGGAUGCCUGGAUGCCUGGCAUGACCAAAAUCAGGGGGCUCAGGGCCCUGAAGGCCCACAGGUUGAAGUUCUGGACCAAGACUCUGCCCCAGAAGAUCCAGGAACUUAAGGGGGCUGACGACAAGCUCAGAGCUGUAGCUCCAUGUCAGGGAGGGCUGGGUGGGUGGAGUGCAGGUGAGGUCUGCCUGUGGUACCCACACACGCCCACCUAGGAGCCAGUGUUGACCCCCUCAUUUCACGUAGCCAUUCAUCCAUCCAUUGAGCCAACACCUACAAAUAACUUACCUCACAAUGUUCAUUGCCCAGGCUGCUGUGGGUCCUCUCUUGUUAGACACACUCAGUAAUCCCCAAGGAAGAUGUGGAUGGGUAAGCCCAGUGGAUGCCCACCUUCUUGCACACCCCACUGGUCCUGUGUCCCUUCCCAGCUUCUUUAUCUCUCCUUCCCUGAACCCUCUCUCUCCUCUCCUCCCAACUCUCAUACCCUCCCCACUUCAAGAGGAGUGCUAGGGGAAUGUUGCCCUCUCCUAGAUAUCAAAAGCCCAGUUUCAUUUCUCA